CUAGAACAAAACAAAUCCAGAAUUAAACACAGAGGAAAUCAAAAAUUGGGGAAAAGGUGACUCAGUCAGAAAUUCCCCAACAUUUAUUCAGUAGAACUCACAUGGCCUACAUGUAGUACCAAACCAUAUAGUCAACGGCUGUCCUCUUGCAAGUGGAGGACAAUCAUGUAUCCAUACUUGUUCUCGAAGGAUCUCUCAGCUGCCUGGGAUAGUACUGAAGAUGAGGAUUUGAUAACAGGAAGGAUGGUGAGUCAUAUUUGGAGAAAGAAAACUGGCAAGGAAAGCCCAUAAAAAGCUUCCAAUUGCAGGGGAUAAGAGACAGCAGCUGAAGACUGGAACAUG
rnacentral:lncRNA from 1 species